UACGAGGGGGGCGAGCGUUGUUCGGAAUUACUGGGCGUAAAGGGCUCGUAGGCGGCCAACUAAGUCGGAUGUGAAAUCCCCAGGCUUAACCUGGGAACUGCAUCCGAUACUGGAUGGCUUGAAUCCGGGAGAGGGAUGCGGAAUUCCAGGUGUAGCGGUGAAAUGCGUAGAUAUCUGGAGGAACACCGGUGGCGAAGGCGGCAUCCUGGACCGGCAUUGACGCUGAGGAGCGAAAGCCAGGGGAGCAAACGGG
rnacentral:rRNA from 1 species